rnacentral:rRNA from 1 species
UACGUAGGGUGCAAGCGUUAAUCGGAAUUACUGGGCGUAAAGCGUGCGCAGGCGGCUAUGCAAGACAGAUGUGAAAAUCCCCGGGCUCAACCUGGGAACUGCAUUUGUGACUGCAUGGCUAGAGUGCGGCAGAGGGGGAUGGAAUUCCGCGUGUAGCAGUGAAAUGCGUAGAUAUGCGGAGGAACACCGAUGGCGAAGGCAAUCCCCUGGGCCUGCACUGACGCUCAUGCACGAAAGCGUGGGGAGCAAACAGG